rnacentral:snRNA from 1 species
GAGCCCGGGCGGAGCGGCCGUCG